rnacentral:rRNA from 1 species
AUGUGCCCGUCUCUUGCUGCGACCACCCCCUACACUAUGCUCUCACGUCAUAUCGUGGAAUGGUCAAGAGAAUACUGUCAUACUCGGCUAGGAUGGAAAUGGGGUCGGAGAAGAUUCGUUCCCCCCCGUAGCAUCUCGGGAAGAAUAAGUUGCUAUGGUCGAUCGAUAGUUCAAGAGAGUCAACAUGGGCUUCCAAAUGGUACAGAGAGGUUGCAUUUGCUUUCUUUGGACAGAGAAAAACUACCUACAGCAACAAGCAGAGGCCUUCAGAGUAUUCGAGUCCAGCGAGUUGGUAGGCGACAUUCGAUCCUUUGA